rnacentral:misc_RNA from 1 species
AGGGCGCGAAGUUCUGGCAAAGCAGCGGAUUCGUGCCGGUCGAGUACGGCAUGCGGCGCCGCGUCGACGAACGAAUCGCUUGGGCGAACCGCUGACCUGGCCACAGUAGCGAAAGCAGGCGAUGAGCGAGAGCUACGACCUCAAGGCACUGAUCCGACGACACGACGGCCGUCGUGCGCGCGACCAAUGACGAUGGGAGCGCUGCGAGCGCAUUACGCCGCAACUGCGCCGCUGGAUGGACGGUGGCGCAGCGUUGCCGGGGGCGUACACCGUGCCGUGCGACGGCCGCGCCUGCGGCCACCUGUUGUACACAGACCCUGAGGGUGAGUACUUCGUGAUCUCGGUCGUGUUUCCGUCCGGGACGAGCAGCGGUGUGCACUAUCACGGCGCCUGGGGCGUCAUAGGCAUCCUGCAGGGGACCGACGAGGAGACGAAGUACCAGCGCGACGACUCCCCGGAUGACGUCGGCGUCGGCCAGCCGUGCGAACUGCGGACGGUGGAGAAGAUCAACUCGCCGGCGGGCACGAUCACGUACCUGCGGCGCCGCAUGAGGGAUUUCAUCGCGUGAAAGCCGCUGGUGCCGAGGCGGGAGUCUCGUUGCACAUCCUGGGUGGAACGCCGGACACACAUCCGCACUUCUUCUGCGAUGGCGACAGCAAGAAGCUCGUCGACUUCCCGAUGGCGGGCAUCAUCACGCACGAACCGAUGUACCGCUGAGCCAUGGCGAUCGAAGUCGCGGCGUUUGACCGUUUCUAAGCAUCUCGACGCAGCUGCCAGCCUGCUUGCGCGCGCCAUGGUCCGCGACCGUGCGCGCGACCGUCGCUGCCUGCUGCACACGAGUCGCCGGACGCCUGCCGCGCGCUGAUCGAAUCGGAGUUGAACGACAAGAGUGCGACGCCGCUGUCGCCAUCGACGGCGAUGGCGUCGCCGCGUUCAUGAUCAUGACGACGUUCCUGCCGGCACCGACCGACAUGACGGCGUCGUUCCUGCCGCAGCGGACGGUUCAGCUGGGAUAUUCCGAGCACGCCGCGCGUGAAGGUGUCGAGAAAGCGGCGUACCGCGCGUUGUACGCGCACCUGGCCGACAACUUCGUCCGCCGCGGCUACUUCGAUCACGUGGUGUACGUGUCACCAGGCGAUGCCGCUGUGAACGAGGCCUUCGUUUCGCUGGGCUUCGGACGCACCCUGGAAGCCUGCGUGCGGGGCGUCGAGCCGCUCACGGCACCCCCGCCGGACGGCGUUGAAGUGCACCAGGCCUCGACGGAAGACGCCGCCGUCGUGGCCGCGCUGAACCGGGAACUUGCCAGGCAUCACGCGCAAUCGCCUAUCUACUGGCCGCAUCUGCGCGAGGCCGAUGCGUCGAGCGAGGCGUUCCAGUAUGAAUUGCUCAAGAACCCGGCAUACGCGCAUUUCAUCGCGUACGAGGACGGGCGCGGCGUCGGGAAUGAACAUGUUCAUGGCGCCUGAGUGGAUCAACCCGAUGUUGCGCGGCGAGAAGCUGAUCUACCUCUACGAGGGCAUCGUUUCGGCACAGGCGCGGCGCGGCGGAUUAGGCAGGGUGAUCUUGGCGCGUGGCAUCGACUGGGCGCGCGAGCAGGGCUACGAGCGCAUCGCACUGCAUUACGCCGCGCCGAACAUCGCCGGCGCGGCGUUCUGGCAGGGCGCCGGGUUCCGCCCCAUCGAGUACCGCCUGAGCCGGCAUAUCGACGGCGGGGUCGCCUGGGCCUCGUGAGGCGCUAAUCCGCCGACUCCAGCAGCAUCGCCUUGUAUGCCGCUUCGGUCAGGGUGCCGGCCGGAAUCCCAUGCGACGCGAUCUGCUCCACGGCGGCCAGCGUCGCAUCGACAUCUGAUUCGCUGUUGAAGAUGUGGAAGCAGGCGCGCACACGGCGGUCGUUGCAAACGCGCAGGACCGCCUGAGCGAUGCCGUAGAGCGCCGCAGCAGUCUCACUCGGUGAGUGGUCGCGCACGUGAAUGUCACGAUGCCGCUGCGGACAGAUCGGUCGAGCGGCGUGGUGAUGCGAACGCCAUCGAUACGGCUCAGGCCGUCGACGAAGCGGUCGGCGAGAGCCAUGCACCUCGCCUCGAUGGCCGAAAGGCCCAAUUUGGCGAUCGCCGCCAUCGACGUCUCGAGCCCGGCCAGCACCGGGCCGCUGUGGGUGGUCAGCUCGAACUUGUGGAUGGAGUCCUUCGCGUAGU